GGAGGGGUGUCGGAGCGGUUGAUCGAGCCCGCCUCGAAAGCGGGUAGACGUGUAACGCGUCUCGUGGGUUCGAAUCCCACCCCCUCCGCCA
rnacentral:tRNA from 1 species